rnacentral:tRNA from 1 species
GGCACAGUGGCAGAGUGGUCUAAUGCGGUAGGCUCGAAAUCUAGUCUCCUCGGAGGCGCCUCUUCAAAUCAGGCCUGUGUCG